UUACUAAUGGCCCUUGAUGACCCAUAUGAGAUGAAGGGAAUCAAAUGUAUUCCUCCCAGGACAACCACAAGACUUCCAAACAAGUUGGCAUGUGAUACAAUAAUUGUCUUAUUCGCAUUCCUGUCUUCUCUGCUUGUUAGCCAAGCAUCAUCCAGCGAGAGGACAGAGCACUCUGCGCUGCUGGCCGGGCAGAAGGAGCCCUGCACGGCGCAAUGAUCCAGUGGAGUGGGGACGACUUUUUAAGCAACAAUCUAGGCCAACAGCCUUCACAAUUACCACAGGGUGUUCUAAAACAUUGUGUUUAAACUCGGUGAACGCAGCUGUUCUCCUCCAGUGCAAAAGUACCCCCAGGUCUGCACUGGUUGCCAAAGGACCAGACAGAAUCAUUUGUUGACUUUGCCAAGACUUCUUCUGACACCUGUAAUUGUAGCCGAUUUCCAGACAGACAGUUCUUUCACAAACCCCUUGAAGUACACUGUACUUGUAUGUAUGCUAGGAAGUCCUUGCUACUGAAAAAACCUGCAAAU